CCUACGGGUGGCAGCAGUGGGGAAUAUUGCACAAUGGGGGAAACCCUGAUGCAGCAACGCCGCGUGAGUGAAGAAGUAUUUCGGUAUGUAAAGCUCUAUCAGCAGGGAAGAAGAAAGACGGUACCUGACUAAGAAGCCCCGGCUAACUACGUGCCAGCAGCCGCGGUAAUACGUAGGGGGCAAGCGUUAUCCGGAUUUACUGGGUGUAAAGGGAGCGUAGACGGCUGUGCAAGUCUGAUGUGAAAGCCCGGGGCUCAACCGCGGAACUGCUGUGGAAACUGUUUAGCUUGAGUACAGGAGAGGCAGGCGGAAGUCCUGGUGUAGCGGUGAAAUGCGUAGAUAUUAGGAGGAACACCAGUGGCGAAGGCGGCCAGCUGGACAUAAACUGACGUUGAGGCUCGAAAGCGUGGGGAGCAAACAGGAUUAGAUACCCCAGUAGUC
rnacentral:rRNA from 1 species